rnacentral:rRNA from 1 species
UACGGGGGGGGCAAGCGUUGUUCGGAAUUACUGGGCGUAAAGGGCUCGUAGGUGGCCAAUUUAAGUCAGACGUGAAAUCCCCAGGCUUAACCUGGGAACUGCGUCUGAUACUGGUUGGCUUGAAUUCGGGAGAGGGAUGCAGAAUUCCAGGUGUAGCGGUGAAAUGCGUAGAUAUCUGGAGGAAUACCGGUGGCGAAGGCGGCAUCCUGGACCGAGAUUGACACUGAGGAGCGAAAGCCAGGGGAGCAAACGGG